rnacentral:rRNA from 1 species
CCUACGGGUGGCAGCAGUGAGGAAUAUUGGUCAAUGGCCGGAAGGCUGAACCAGCCAAGCCGCGUGAGGGAGGAAGGCGCAGAGCGUCGCAGACCUCUUUUGCCGGGGGACAAAAGGCCGGACUCGUCCGGUCCUGGAGGUACCCGGAGAAAAAGCAUCGGCUAACUCCGUGCCAGCAGCCGCGGUAAUACGGAGGAUGCGAGUGUUAUCCGGAUUCAUUGGGUUUAAAGGGUGCGCAGGCGGGCCUUUAAGCCGGCGGUGAAAUCGCGGGGCUCAACCCCGCCGAGCCGUUGGAACUGGGGGCCUUGAGUGCGCGGGAGGCAUGCGGAAUGCGUGGUGUAGCGGUGAAAUGCUUAGAGAUCAUACAGAACACCGAUUGCGAAGGCAGCUUACCAAUCUAUAUCUGACGUUGAGGCACGAAAGCGUGGGGAGCAAACAGGAUUAGAUACCCUUGUAGUC